GACGUAGGGUGCAAGCGUUGUCCGGAUUUACUGGGCGUAAAGCGCGCGUAGGCGGUCUGUUAAGUGCAUAAGGGAAAGCUCCGGGCUCAACUCGGAAAUUGCUUUGCAUACUGGCAGGCUGGAGGGACGCAGAGGUCUGUGGAAUUCCUGGUGUAACGGUGAAAUGUGUUGAUAUCAGGAGGAACACCCAUGGCGAAGGCAGCAGACUGGGCGUUUCCUGACGCUGAGGCGCGAAAGCGUGGGUAGCAAACAGG
rnacentral:rRNA from 1 species